UGAGGAAUAUUGGUCAAUGGGCGCAAGCCUGAACCAGCCAAGUAGCGUGCAGGAAAACGGCCCUAUGGGUUGUAAACUGCUUUUAUACGAGAAUAAUUUGAUGCACGUGUGCGUUAUUGCAUGUAUCGUAUGAAUAAGGACCGGCUAAUUCCGUGCCAGCAGCCGCGGUAAUACGGAAGGUCCAGGCGUUAUCCGGAUUUAUUGGGUUUAAAGGGAGUGUAGGCGGUUUGUUAAGCGUGUUGUGAAAUUUAGGUGCUCAACAUUUAACUUGCAGCGCGAACUGGCGAACUUGAGUGCACACAACGUAUGCGGAAUUCAUGGUGUAGCGGUGAAAUGCUUAGAUAUCAUGAAGAACUCCGAUUGCGAAGGCAGCAUACGGGAGUGUAACUGACGCUUAAGCUCGAAGGUGCGGGUAUCGAACAGGAUUAGAUACCCUGGUAGUCCGCACAGUCGAUGGAUGCCCGCUGUUAGCGCCUGGCGUUAGCGGCUAAGCGAAAGCAUUAAGCAUCCCACCUGGGGAGUACGCCGCAACGG
rnacentral:rRNA from 1 species